AGUAAGGAGGCGGGCCUGGAUGUGGCCGGGGAUUGGCUCUGGGGUCUGGGCUAAAGGUGCCAGGGAGAGGACACGCCUGAAGUGAGUGUGAAAGAGGCUUGUGCAAGUAUUUGUCACCUGUGACGGGGGAAAAAAAGCGGACAGAAACUUUCCCUCCCUGAACAGUAGUGAAUUUGAUCAGAGAACCGUGAAUGAAAGCGGGAUGCGAGACUGAAGGAGGAAGAUAUGCGAUACUUCAACAACAACAACAAAAAACAAAAGUAAGGACAGAAAAUGGAGGAAAAAGAACACCGUGCUUCACUCCUUUGGGGAGGGCGGUGUUAGUGAAUGGCAAGUUUCUGAUAAGAAUUCGUGUUGAUUCACUUGUAUUUUACGGAGAUGAGAGGAUAAAGACAUUUUAUGAGAGCAGUAUUAACAUUGUUAUUCAGACCUACAGGAAAGAGCAAAACCAAAUUUUGAAGGAACAUACUGUAGUUGACACAGUGACCUUUUUUUCUGUCUUUAUGCAAGAUUAUUAAAUGAUUUUGUCGCUUCAUCAUGCUUAAGAAUGACUU